rnacentral:lncRNA from 1 species
AUUCGUAAGUGUAUAAGCACACCGAAUCGACACCAGAGUAUAGGGGCAUAUAUACUCAAUACAAAUAUAUGUCUUGAUAGUAAAUGUGGUUCGACCGUCAGAAUGCCGAACUCUAAAGCUUACUUGUGAGUAUCCAAUCAUAAAACAACUCGGUGUUCAAUGUGCCGAGCCUUAGUAGACUGAACACCUCACCUUUCCGAAAAGGCUAAUGAGAUGACCUCUGCCAAUAAAGACCCGAAAGUCUUUCUCGACUGAGACUUGGAUAGAUAACCAGUCAGCCUCGACGCAGUGCUGGUUAUCCAAAAUGAAGGUGUUCCGUGGUUGGCUGGUUUUAUGGUGAUAGUGCUGUUUAUCCAAACUGAAGGUAUCACCGGUUACCUUCACAGUGCUGUUUAUCCAAACUGAAGAUGUGUUGGCGGAAAAAGAAAAAAAGAUAUCAAGGUUGUUGAGAGAGUUUGCGCAUGACAAUUUGUGUGUUGAAUUUGAGGGGCUUUUCUCGUUGCCACUACCUAUGUAUUUAUAGGGCUGAUGUACUUACUUAGCAUGGCCUGAACGAUAAGCAGAGGAUUUCAAUUGCACCUAAAGACUUGUAAUGGAAUAUUCUGAGAUAUAAAACGAUGACCAUACAGGGACUCUGCACGCUAAUCCUAUUUUAUUCCAACUUUGACUUUACUUUAUCCCAUCACUGAAUUUGUUGGAUAGUCACACA